rnacentral:other from 1 species
UUACCCCUGAGAUUUCACGUAAAAAUUGCUUUUUUUUACCAACACUUCUUAAAAGGGAUGUUAUCUCCGGAUGCGGCAUAUACGCCUCCUUUCCUUCGGGACUGCCAGUGGACAUAUAAUGCUACGGGAAACGACCCACCUGCUAAUGCAGGUAGAAACUCGCAAUGUAUACGGUUAUUUUGGGGGUUUU